GCAUAAAAUCCAGUAGUGGGCUGCUUCCAGGAAGAUCGAGAGGGACGUUGCUGCAGGAGCCAACUACUAAAGCCGUGGGUCGUCGUGCGAGAGUGUUUAAGUGUGAUUUAUCUGCGGAAUUGGCCAUGUUGGAUGGCGAGCUAGAGUCUGAAGCUUUAUGCCUGGAACCGAACCAACCGAACUGAAUCCACCCAACCGAGCCGGGCGGGUAGGAGGCUCCUCAGCAGCCGCUCUGUUUUUUCCCUUUGGUUUUUCAUAACGCAACAAGUUCAUUUCUGUCCUGCCUGAACUUUCACAUUUACCCGUUACCUUCACUAAAACCCCCUCUGGACACUGCCACCACAACGUGGACUUUGCGAGGUCGUUUAAUGAACUGUCGUGUUGCGCCUAUACCAUUCUUGGUAAAAACAAGGACUGAAUCAAGUACUGUAUCACAUUGUAAAUAUUGUACGUUCUGUAAUUUAUGUUGAAAAUUUGAAUGGCCAUUCGAAUUUACAUGUCUUUUUGUUGUUUAUUUUUCCUAUAAUUCUUUAAUAUAAUUUGGAUCCAUCCAUCAUCUUCCGCUUAUCCGAGGUCGGGGUCGCGGGGGCAACAGCCUAAGCAGGGAAACCCAGACUUCCCUCUCCCCAGCCACUUCGUCUAGCUCUUCCCGGGGGAUCCCGAGGCGUUCCCAGGCCACACCGGGAGACAUAGUCUUCCCAACGUGUCCUGGGUCUUCCCCGUGGCCUCCUACCGGUUGGACGUGCCCUAAACACCUCCCUAGGGAGGCGUUCGGGUGGCAUCCUGACCAGAUGCCCGAACCACCUCAUCUGGCUCCUCUCGAUGUGGAGGAGCAGCGGCUUUACUUUGAGUCCCUCCCGGAUGGCAGAGCUUCUCACCCUAUCUCUAAAGGAGAGCCCCGCCACACGGCGGAGGAAACUCAUUUCGGCCGCUUGUACCCGUGAUCUUAUCCCUUCGGUCAUGACCCAAAGCUCAUGACCAUAGGUGAGGAUGGGAACGUAGAUCGACCGGUAAAUUGAGAGCUUUGCCUUCCGGCUCAGCUCCUUCUUCACCACAACGGAUCGGUACAACGUCCGCAUUACUGAAGACGCCGCACCGAUCCGCCUGUCGAUCUCACGAUCCACUCUUCCCCCACUCGUGAACAAGACUCCUAGGUACUUGAACUCCUCCACUUGGGGCAGGGUCUCCUCCCCAACCCGGAGAUGGCACUCCACCCUUUUCCGGGCGAAAACCAUGGACUCUGACUUGGAGGUGCUGAUUCUCAUUCCGGUCGCUUCACACUCGGCUGCGAACCGAUCCAGCGAGAGCUGAAGAUCCCGGCCAGAUGAAGCCAUCAGGACCACAUCAUCUGCAAAAAGCAGAGACCUAAUCCUGCGCUUACCAAACCGGAACCCCUCAACGCCUUGACUGCGCCUAGAAAUUCUGUCCAUAAAAGUUAUGAACAGAAUCGGUGACAAAGGACAGUCUUGGCGGAGUCCAACCCUCACUGGAAAUGUGUUCGACUUACUGCCGGCAAUGCGGACCAAGCUCUGGCACUGAUCGUACAGGGAGCGGACCGCCACAAUAAGACAGUCCGAUACCCCAUACUCUCUGAGCACUCCCCACAGGGCUUCCCGAGGGACACGGUCGAAUGCCUUCUCCAAGUCCACAAAGCACAUGUAGACUGGUUGGGCAAACUCCCAUGCACCCUCAAGAACCCUGGUACCAUUUAAACUUAAAACCUGUGUUCAGUCUUCAUUACUCUCCAUUCCUAGAGCUGAAUUUAGUUUCUUCUGAUCCAGCCCAGUUAUAUAAUUCAUUGCUUACUUAAUACUUGUACAGUGCUUUACUUAAGUAACAUACAGGCUACAGGUGGGUAGUAACGCGCUACAUUUACUGCGUUACAGCUACUUGAGUAACUUUAGGGAUAAAUUGUACUUCUAAGAGUAGUUUUUAUGCAACAUACUUUUACUUGAGUAUAUUUAUAGACAAGAAACGCUACUUUUACUCCGCUCCAUUUAUCUACAUUCAGCUCGCUACUGAUUUUUAUCAAUCUGUUAAUGCAAGCUUUGUUUGUUUUUUGUUUUGUCAGACACACAUUCAAAGUAGAAUCUAUGCAUGCCUGCGUUUCACCAAUCAAAUGCAGUCACUGGUGACGUUGGACCAAAAAAACAGAGCCAGGCGGUCACAUGACCGUCACACGUAGAAUGUUGAAAAACUUAUUGGGGUGUUACCAUUUAGUGGUCAAUUGUACGGAAUAUGUACUGUAUUGUGCAAUCUACUAAUACAAGUUUCAAUCAAUCACAAGUGUAAAGCAAAAAAGACACCUUUUAGUUCAACUGUACUUCCCGUCAAAAGCCUAAAGACUGAUCGCACAUUUCCUGUCUUCACAAUAAAAGUGCCGCUCCAUCGCGCCUGCGCUAACAAAAUAAGAGUCUCCGAAAGCCAGCGCAAACAAGCUAGCAAGCUACGGAGUUUGCCGCCAGUGUAUUUCUUGUAAAGCGUAUAAAAAAUAAUAUGGAAGCUGGACAAAUAAGAUGCCAAAAACUAACAACUUUCAUGUGGUAUUAGACAGAAAAGAGGAACUUUUUUUCUCCUCCAUGUGAAAACGUGGACGUUAUCAGCAAUGCUGCCUGAUUCCAAUCAAUGCAGGUCAUCAGAAUCAGGUAAUACACCAACUUAUAUUCUUGUCUUCACAAAAGAUAGGAAUUUAUGUGUUAAACAUGCAUGUAUAUUCAUUAAAACAACUUUAACAUGUCAACAAAAACGGCAAAAUAAAUAAAUCUAA